rnacentral:rRNA from 1 species
AUAGAGACUCAGAGCUGCAUAUCAAUAAGCGGAGGAAAAGAAACUAACUAGGAUUCCCUCAGUAACGGCGAGUGAAGCGGGAAGAGCUCAAAUUUGAAAUCUUCAAGGUUUUACCUUGACGAAUUGUAGUUUAAAGAAGUGUUUUCUGUUGGAGUUUUGGUAAAAGUUCUUUGGAAAAGGACAUCAUAGAGGGUGAGAAUCCCGUAUUUGGUUAUUCAUUCUAGCUUUGUGAUACACUUUCAAAGAGUCGGAUUGUUUGGGAAUGCAGUCCAAAAUGGGUGGUAAAUUUCAUCUAAAGCUAAAUAUUGGCGAGAGACCGAUAGCGAACAAGUACCGUGAGGGAAAGAUGAAAAGAACUUUGAAAAGAGAGUUAAACAGUACGUGAAAUUGUCAAAAGGGAAGCGUUUGACACCAGUGUUGUUUUUCCGAAAAUCAAUUACGAAUGGCUUGAUUUUGUGUUGUAUUGACCUUAUCAGCUUUCUGCACUUUUUUCGAGUCUUCCUUAAUGCACUUUUCGGUUAACAAGUCAACAUCAAUUUCUUUUGUUGUAAAAGAGUAUUCGGAAGGUGGCUUUCUUUUCGGAGAAAGUGUUUAUAGCCCUUAUGCCUCUACAAUCGGAGAGAUUGAGGUCUGCAGCGUAGAUCCUUCGGGGUUAGAUACAUUUGUGCUAAGUUGUAGCUUUUCAUAGACAACUUGUUGACUAUGUUUAGUCAUGCGGCUUACUCGCUUAGUGCUAUUUUACCUACGCUUAGGAUGUUGACGAUCAGCUGAGCGCG